GUCCUUCUGUGGUUCUCAAGUAAGGUGGGUCAUUUUCCCACCCCUGUGUGAGAUGUGCCUCCUUCAGGCCUUGCACCAGGGGCACAUGACCCGCCUGAUA
ensembl:snoRNA